GUGGGGAAUCUUAGACAAUGGGGGCAACCCUGAUCUAGCCAUGCCGCGUGAGUGAUGAAGGCCUUAGGGUCGUAAAGCUCUUUCGCUGGGGAAGAUAAUGACGGUACCCAGUAAAGAAACCCCGGCUAACUCCGUGCCAGCAGCCGCGGUAAUACGGAGGGGGUUAGCGUUGUUCGGAAUUACUGGGCGUAAAGCGCGCGUAGGCGGAUUGGAAAGUGGGGGGUGAAAUCCCGGGGCUCAACCCCGGAACUGCCUUUGAAACUCCCAGUCUUGAGGUCGAGAGAGGUGGGUGGAAUUCCGAGUGUAGAGGUGAAAUUCGUAGAUAUUCGGAGGAACACCAGUGGCGAAGGCGGCCCACUGGCUCGAUACUGACGCUGAGGUGCGAAAGCGUGGGGAGCAAACAGGAUUAGAAACCCCAGUAGUCC
rnacentral:rRNA from 1 species